rnacentral:rRNA from 1 species
GUGUCAGCAGCCGCGGUAAUACGUAGGUGGCAAGCGUUGUCCGGAUUUACUGGGCGUAAAGAGCGCGCAGGCGGUCGUUCAAGUCGAGUGUGAAAGCCCCCGGCUCAACUGGGGAGGGUCACUCGAUACUGAUCGACUCGAAGGCAGAAGAGGGAAGCGGAAUUCCCGGUGUAGUGGUGAAAUGCGUAGAUAUCGGGAGGAACACCAGUGGCGAAGGCGGCUUUCUGGUCUGCUCUUGACGCUGAGGCGCGAAAGCUAGGGUAGCAAACGGGAUUAGAUACCCCCGUAGUCC